GGUGAUCCACCCACCUUGGCCUUACAGAGUGCUGGGAUUACACACGUGAGCCACCAUGUCCGGCCAAGACCUUUCUUCUAAUAUAAUGUAAUGCUAUAAAUACCCAUCUAAGAAUGACUUUAGUUGCAUCUCACAAAUUUUGAUAGUUUCAUUUUUCUUCAGUUCAAAAUAUUUUAUAUUUUUCCUUGAUAUUUCCUUUGACUUGUGCAUCAUUUGGGAUUAUGCUGUUUAAUUUGCUGCUUUUUGAGGAUUUUCCUAUUAUCUUUGCUAUUUUUCAAAUUCUACUGUUGAAGAAUAUACUUUGUGUGAUUUCAGUUCUUUUAGAUUUAUUAAGGUUUAUUCUCUGAUCCAGGAUAUAAUCUGUCUUGGUGAAUGUUCCAUGUACACUUAGAAAAAAGAGUAUUUUGCUGUUGGGUGGAAUGUCCUUUAAAUGUCAAUUCAAUUUAGUUGAUUAAUACUGUUAUUUAGUUCUUUUAUAUUCUUGCUGAUUUUCUGUCUACUAGAUCUAUUGAUUACCGAGAGAAGGGUGAUUAGGUCUCCAAAUAUUGUGGAUUUUUCUAUUUCUUUUUUCAGUCUGUCAGUUUUGCUUCAUGUAUUUUGAAGCUCUGUUUGGUACAUACUUGUUUAAUAUUUUUUAUGUCUUAUUGGUGAAUUGAUGUUUUCAUUAUGUAGUGUCCUUUUAUCCUUGGUAAUUUUCUCUGCUCUAAAUUAUAUUUUUUCUGAUAUUGCUAUAGGUAAUUCAGCUGUCAUUUGAUUAGUGUUUGCAGGGCAAAACUUUUUCUAUCCUACUUUUAACAUACUUAAGUCAUUGUGUUUUAAAUACAUUUCUUGUAGACAUCAUAUAGUUGGGUCUUUUUAAAAAAAUCCAUACUGUUGAUCUUUGUCUUUUGAUUGGUAUGUUUUGACCAUUUGCAGCUAAUGUAGUUAUUCAUAUUUGUAUUUAGAUCUACUGUUUUAUUUUCUGUUUGUGCCCUCUCCUUUUUAUUCACAUUCUCUUCUUUCUUUUGGAUUGUAUCUCUCUCUCUCUCUCUCACACACACACACGUAUGUGAGAUAUAUAUAUAUCCUCAUGAGAUAAUUUUAUAUUUUUUCUUUUAACAAUUACAUAUCUUUUAAACAACUUGAGGAGAAUAGUAGCCUACUGUAUUUUUACAGAUGUUUUAAUUUCUAUUAUUCUUCCUUCUUUUCCAACAUUCCAUACUUCCUUCUGGUAUUCUUUCUCUUCUGUUCUUCAGACAGAAGUUCUGUCUGAAGAACUUUCUUAAGUAUUUUUUGUACUUGUUUUAAAGCAGUUCUGCUGGCAAAAACUUCUUUUUUCCUUUACCUGAAAAUAUUCUCAUUUCACCUUCAUUCCUAAAGGAUAUUUUCACUGCAUACAGAAUUCUAGGUUUGCAGUACAUUUAGCACAUAAAAAAUAUUCCACUUCCUUCUGGCUUCAAUGUUUCUCAUGGGAAAUUGGCAGUCUUGCAAAUAAUUGUUUCCCUGUAAGUAAUACAUCAGUUUUCUUUGGUUGCAUUUGAUUUUUUUUUCCUGUGUCUUUAGUUUUUAGUGCUUUAAUUAUUACAUGUCUGGGCAUUGAUUCCUUUGAGUUUACCCUGUUUAGGGUUAUCUGAGCUUCUUGAAUCUAUAAAUUUAUAAUGUUAGCCAAAUUUGAGAAGUGCUUAGGAAUUAUUUCUUCAAAUACUUGCUUUUUACACAAUAGUCUCUUCUAUGAUGAUAUGAAUGUUAGAUCUUCUGAUAUUGUUCCACAGGCCCCAGAGAGGCUCUGUUAAUUUUUUCUCCUAAUCUUUUUUCUCUCUUGUUUAGAUUAGGUAAUUUCUAUUGGCCUAGCGACAAGUUCAUUGACUCUUUCGUUGGUCUUGUUCAAUCUCCUACUCUCUGAAACACAUCCAGAUAGUUUUUAUUUGUUAGUAUAUUUUUCAAAGUUAAAAGUUCCAUUUGAUUCUUCAUUAUAUUUUGUAUUUCUUUGGUAAGACUUUCUAUCUUUCCAUUUAUUUCAAGGGUAUUCACCCUUAAUUUGUGAGGCAUUUUAAUCAUAGCUACCGUAAAGUCAUCUGUGUCACCUAAUUGUCUUGUCCCACUCAAGUCAACAUUUUUUUCUCUACAUCUUCAUGUGUAGAGUAAUUUUGGGUUGAAUCCUGGACAUUUUGAAUAUCAUGCAAUAAAGCUUUGGGUCUUGUUUACUUAAAGUUAUAUGGAAAAUGCUGAUUUUCUUUUUUUAAUUUUAGCAACAGUUAACCUAGUUAGGAUUAGGCUGCAAAUUCUGACUGGUCUUCUGUGGGUUGUGAUUUUAAUGUCAGUUCCAUUUCCAAAGCCUUCGAAGUACCUUCCAUAUCUAUCCCACAUGUAUACCACUCAGUGGCCAGUAUGAGGUCAGAGCAAUACUUUAUCCUACAGUGCAGUUUUUGAAAUCUGUGAUACACUGUUUUAUGUCAGAGUCACACAUGCCCAGGGGUGACUUCAGUAGUUCAUAAACAACUUUACAAAAUCCUUUCCCAGGCUCCUUUAUCUCUCUGAUCUCCCUUGCACUUUUCAGUUCCUUGGAAUUCCCCCGUUUUGGUCCUUUGGCUAGAAAGCUUUAUCCUACUCUGUGAUUUGCUUCUUGUGACUGCUCCUUCCUAUGGGGCCAAGUGGUGGGAGGACAGAGAAAGAGAGAGAGAGACAAAGUAAUGGGGAUUUGCCCCAGUCUUUUGGAACUACAAGUCCUCCAAUCAGAGGGUAAGAUUCUCUCCUUCAUCAAAGUUUUGGGCUCCUGAGGGUCUCCCUUGUUGCAGCCGUUGCUGUUACCACAGUCCCAGGAUGCCUGGAGGAAUGGAAUGCAAGAGGCUGAUAUGUUAGAGAUCCUUUCCACUUCUUGAGUUAGAACUGGAGUGUACUCUGUCUGCAAAAUGCUUGCCUCUACGAUACAGGCUGUGUUGACACCAGACUGGUGGAUACCAGAGGGAAAAAAUGAUGAGCCCACUAUAGUUUUAUGGUAUUAUUUUCUCCCCCCAGUCUUCCUGUUAUGCUUGUAUUACGUUUUAGAGUUCUUAUGUUGCUGCUUCAUGCACUCUGUUCAGGUUUCAGAUCUGCUUUCAGUGGGAGAAACAAGAUGGAAUCUACUUAUUCCAUCUUACCAUAAAAUAAACCAUUAAAGUAUAACAUGCAUGCAGAAAAGUGCACAAAUCAUAAAUGUGCAUUUUCACAAAGUAACCACUCUCUGCAACCAAGAUAUGUAACAUUACCAGCACUCCAGAAGCCUCCAAGUCACUACCCCCACCCUUCUCUUCAAAGUGCCCAUCAUGUGUCCUACAUGCCUAUCACAGAGCCUGGAAUGUAGCAGAUGCCCAAUAUUUGCAGAAUGAAUGAAUUCAUAUGUAAGUGACUGAAAGAGUUCAACAAAUGUUAGUUCUCUUUCCCUUUCUCAUCUCAUAUUUACAGAAGAAUGGAUACACCAGAGUUAUGGAGUCAGAAGAUACUACUAUCAGUUCUACAGAAGAAAGACAAAUUCAUGGUGUGAUGGAUGUUACCAGAUGUUAAAAAUUAUGGAACUGUUAAAAAUUUUGGAACUGCUCAUAGAUACCUCGUACAGGCAGUUGGAAAUAUAGAUCUAGAGCUCAGUAAAAAAGUCAUAGUUAAGGACCUGGAUCUUCAAAUUAUAAAAUUUUAUUUUUUAUAUCUUUUAAAAUGUGUUGUGCUUUGCUCCUAUGUGUUUUAAAAUGGAGGAAAAGAGGACAAUUGGGAUUCAGGGGUCAAAUGCCAGGAUAUGAGACUUACAGUGCAUCUGGUAAAAAUUAAAAUGAUUUAAACUC